rnacentral:misc_RNA from 1 species
GAAAUGCGAUAAGUAAUGUGAAUUGCAGAAUUCAGUGAAUCAUCGAAUCUUUGAACGCACAUUGCGCCCAUUAGUAUUCUAGUGGGCAUGCCUAUUCGAGCGUCAUUUCAACCCUUAAGCCUUCGUUGCUUAGCGUUGGGAAUCUACGGGUGAUAGCGUAGUUCCUGAAAACUAGUGGCGGCGUUAGAGCACACGCUGAGCGUAGUAAUUUUCUUUUCUCGCUUUUUGUCGUGGUUGUAACUGCUAGCCGUGAAACCCCCCUAUUUUUUUAUGGUUGACCUCGAAUUAGGUAGGAAUACCCGCUGAACUUAA